GCCGUGGCUCAGCGGUAGAGCAUCUACAUGGCACAAAGAAGGUCCCAGGUUCAAUCCUUGGCAUCUCCA
rnacentral:tRNA from 1 species